rnacentral:misc_RNA from 1 species
AACCAUAGAAACCUGCGGAGUACCUGCGGAAGGAUCAUUAGCGAGUGCAAGCUCCCUAUAUCCUGUGAACUGUCCUGUUGCUCCGGCGGGCUCGCCUGCCGGAGUCCACUAUAACUCUGUAUUUACUGUCUCUCUGAGCACCAAAAGAAAUCGUUAAAACUUUCAGCAAUGGAUCU